UGGAGAAUCAAGUUCCGCAUCAUUUUUCUCAUUAGGCAUAGAAUUUCAUUGAAGAUUUUUAAGCAGUGGAGUGACACAAUCUGAUUUAAAAUCAUUCUGCUAACAAUGUGGAGGAAAAAAAUGCAAAGGGCAAGAAUGCAAGCAGGAAGACAGGUAGGAGGUCACUGCAAUGAAUCAGAGAAAAGACGAUGGUGCCUCAGACAAAGAAGGUAGCAGCAGGAAUGGUGGGCCAGAGUCUACUCCAGAAUUUCUCAAAGAAUGGUCCAAGAAAACUGGGCAUCAAUAUCACCUGGGAUGCCUGAGAAAG